rnacentral:lncRNA from 1 species
CUCCUUCCAUUCUACUCAUACAAAUAUUUUUCCAAGAAACCAUAUAAACUCCCCUUGUAUAGCCCACCCAUCCUUUCCGAAAGAAAUCCAUUCGCAACGCCUCCAUAUGCUUUAAAACCCAUUUCAGUGCUUUAAAUAUAGAGAAAAAAAUGUAUCGGUAGGUUAGAGAGAACUGAAUUAAUCAGUGUUAAUCUACCUCCUCUGGAGAGGAGUUUAGCUUGUCAGCCGUCAAUUCUCCUUUGGAAGUUAUUAUUGACA